UACAAGAAACGAAGCAAUGGUUGGGGAUUCAUCACAGAGAUAAAUUUACAAUAUCAACGUGAUAGAAGAUCCUUUUGGAAAAAAUCAAAGCAAGUGAAUUGCAGAGCAGAUAACAUUCAAGAAGGAAGAAAAGGAAACCUUUCCUUUCUCACAGGUCCUGAUUGCAUUUUGGAAUGCAAGAUGCCUAUGCCUUCACCUGCCUUCAAACUAAUUGAGCUGCAGCUUAGACAACGGGGCUGUCAUUUAGCUGGAGCUGCGGGUGCAGAGUAG
rnacentral:lncRNA from 1 species